rnacentral:rRNA from 1 species
CAGCAGUGGGGAAUAUUGGACAAUGGGCGCAAGCCUGAUCCAGCCAUGCCGCGUGAGUGAUGAAGGCCUUAGGGUUGUAAAGCUCUUUUGUCCGGGAAGAUAAUGACUGUACCGGAAGAAUAAGCCCCGGCUAACUUCGUGCCAGCAGCCGCGGUAAUACGAAGGGGGCUAGCGUUGCUCGGAAUCACUGGGCGUAAAGGGCGCGUAGGCGGACUCUUAAGUCGGGGGUGAAAGCCCAGGGCUCAACCCUGGAAUUGCCUUCGAUACUGAGAGUCUUGAGUUCGGAAGAGGUUGGUGGAACUGCGAGUGUAGAGGUGAAAAUUCGUAGAUAUUCGCAAGAACACCAGUGGCGAAGGCGGCCAACUGGUCCGAUACUGACGCUGAGGCGCGAAAGCGUGGGGAGCAAACAGGAUUAGAUACCCUGGUAG